UACGUAGGGUGCAAGCGUUGUCCGGAAUUAUUGGGCGUAAAGAGCUCGUAGGCGGUUUGUCGCGUCUGCUGUGAAAACCCGAGGCUCAACCUCGGGCCUGCAGUGGGUACGGGCAGACUAGAGUGCAGGUAGGGGAGAUUGGAAUUCCUGGUGUGAGCGGUGGAAUGCGCAGACUAUCAGGAGGAACACCAGUGGCGAAGGCGGC
rnacentral:rRNA from 1 species